GAUCUGCAGGGAAUGAUCUGAUUUGAUUUCUAAAGAUCUUUACGAGGAGUUUCUUUAAUGACAAUCCUGUACGUGUUAUAGCGAGAACUGAAAUAAGACCGUGCUAUUUAAGUUAUGUGAGAUUGCCUGAUAAAGGAAGCUCCAGACGACGUUAUCUACACUGCUCCACAUUUGAUUCAGUCUAGCGAUGGCGGGCACUCCCUGCAAGGAACCUGCAGUAUGUUAAAGAGAGGUAGCAGCCUUGAAUCACACACACACUUACCUGAGAAGUAGGAAAGGUGAAAGGAGAACAGCACACAAAGAAAGAGAGUUUGUUGGCACAGGGGCACUAUUGGCCCUGGAGAGCCAAGAGCAUGUCUCCCUGAAUGAAACUGUCAUUGCUGAGAACAAAGUAAGCAGCAGCCUGAGCAGACCGGCGGCCUUGAGCACUACUCUCUAUCUGCAACAAUGUGGGAACCCGGUCCAUGCUCUCUUGCUCUAGCUUACUGCUCCCUCUUGUGCUCCAUCUCCCUAAGUUUCUUCUCUAUCCUCCUCUUGCCCCCUUUUCUUCAAAAGUUCUUUUUUUUUCUUGUUUCACUUGUGUAGUUCUGGUCUGCAUUAUGGAAAUUAGAUGAUGAUUUCAUUGCCCCACUUUCCUUUUUUCAUUUUUAUAAAUACCUUGGAUAGCAAGUGGAUAGCGAAGCGCAGUUCUCUAUCAGUUGCCAUGUUUGGCUCACCAGUCUCGUUGUAGUCUAUCUAAGCCAAGACUGAGUAUAUCUUUUGGGCAAACCCGUACGCCCAUUCCUUUUGUUCUUAUUCGUGCCUUUUGCUCUCCUUUUAUCCUCUCAUCUUUCUCUCUGUGGUGGACUACCUGACAAGAAAGAACAUACAGUAGAUGCUGUUUUUGUAAAAGCUAGACAGAUGGACCUCAAUGGACGCCAAGUUUGGCGAUCUGCAGGGUGUUGUGUCUGUACUCGCCAGUAUGCAUCCGGCUUGGCAGACCGCUACAAUGGCAGCGCCAUCAGAAGCACUCAGACAGGAAAGGCACAGGCACAGAGAGAAGAUGACGCAGAACGAGCAGAGCUAGAUUUCAACCCGUGGAAGUGUGUUCUAGGCAGCACUGUACGGACUUUGCAAUCAAUAAACACCUCUUUUUGUUUUUCUUUCUCUCUUUUUAGCGCUCACUCUCUCCUCCUCUCUCUCUCUGUCAGCAGUGUCUGACAAAUGAGUACAAAACACCAUCUGGCUGCAUCCAUCCAUGUGCGCUUCUCCAAUUAAUGAUGUUUAUUCUCUGUUAGGCCUACCUAUCACUAGCAUUCUCUUCCUAUUUGCUCUUAAUCUACCCCUCCCCACACACACAUCCUCUGUCAUGCAUGAUAUCCAGCCAUAUCCAGAGGAACAGAUUUAUCACUGUGCCCGGUAGAUUGGCCGGGGGUGGUGCAUGCCUUCGACUGUGCUUGAUGCGCAUAGCUUCUAAAGGCGAUAGCCUGCAACAGGUGUUGUCAACCAUCAGCCAUAGUUCAAGUACUUUCAAACUACAACAUUAUGGUCAUGGUAUGUGGGAGAUGAUGUGUUUUUGGUCGCUGAGAGGAAAAGGGAAAGGUCUAAUGACCCUAGCUUAUGUGUUUCCAUCAUUCCUGUAACCUAGCUGCAAGGCCUGCCGUGCAGCUGCAGAGUAAAGGCGGUGACAGACGAAGAGACAACACCACCCCUUGUGUUCGAGGCUAUAAUAUCUGCUCUUGUCCCACCUAGUGUGCAUUUGUGCACAUGGAAAUUUGAUUGAGAAAAAUAGCUCUUCUCUCACUAUGCCAGCCAGCUCAGGUAGGCUUCAGAGGCAUUGCAGGCCGGCAGUAGGUGGAUGGUUUUAGUCAAGCUGGCAGCGUCUCUGUCCCUGUAGGCUGUUAUUACCUUCAUCAGGCUAAUGAAGGAGCUGGAUUGGAUCAUAUUAACCUCCUGAUCUCCACCUCCCAGGACACCGCAGUUACAACAGGCCGGACUGCACUGUUCACUGCUCUCAUUAUAUAUGUGUGUGAGAUAAUGGUGAGCCCGUCCCACCUGCACGUAGACGCUGCAUCUCCCACAUGAAUGUUAAUCAUCUUUUUAAUUGGCUUCCUUGGCUUGGUGACCUCUACUUGAGACGGCAAGACUGCCGCAACACCACGCUCCUCCUUCAAUGCUGUCUUACUUUGCCUGUGGGGUGUGUGCGUAGUCUUUCUUAGCUUCCAUUCACUCUCAAACAGUAGAGAUUGGAGCUGGCCUGCAGACAGUGUGACCUUUGACUCCCAGCCAUCCUCUUGUCCACCACUUUCAUCAUUAUCCGUCUUCACAUCCUCACACUCUUUGUACUCAUUUAUUCAGCCUUUUGGUCCUUAUAUGCCCUGCUAAUACAUUUGAGACAGGUACUUCACAGACACCUACUGAAACCUUGUAGCCAGGAGAGCAGAGGAGAGCAAACACUAAAACUGUGUGAUGUAUAAAUCACCUCUGAUUAAUGAUCUAGAGGUGAUAAGUGGAUAAUUGGAAUUGACCACUUAAACUGUUUUACCACAGGAAACAGAUGUGCCUUUUCUGACACGUAUGCCAAUAAUGAUUACUGCUGCAUGGCAUUUGAUUGGUUAGUAUGUGAAAAGUGACCAUGAUUGACUAUGUCAGGUGAAACUGUAUUUACUCGAGCAUGCAUGCAGACUUUUAUACAUCCCUGCUUUUUUUUUCUCCCCACAAACAUCUUUGUUACACAAAUAACUGGCAAGCUUAAGUCCAGCAUCCACUCACAGCUGCACUCCAGACACCAAAAUGACAAUAAAAAUGCUUAAUUCCACUGGCCUGAAUGUUGGUAUUAACUUCAAACACCUGAAGGCAGGCUCAGGCAAGACCCCCACUGGCAUUUCAGUACAGACUGGAAAUAAACACACAGAAGGACCCACACACACGAAAAAACACACAAUUAUUGGCAGAAGAACGUGGGAGCUAUUUUUUAACUCGGUCUUUACCUUCGUACCUCUGAGAGAGGAAGAGAGGACAAAAGAGAAUAUUUUUGUAUUCGCCUGCUCAGAAAUGUGCGAGAAGGGAAAUCGGCAGCAUCCUCUCUAGUAGUAGCCAGGGUGGUAUUUGGUUAAUAAGUUAAAUUAUUUGGGAAGAUAAAUUAACACAAUGUAGGAGAAGAACAUACCCUUUCAGCACUGCAAUUUGUUGUGUUCGUAGUAGGAGCCUUCAGAGCUUUCAUGUAGUGAAAGACGCCUUGUGUCCACUCGCUCCCUUGUUGUCUUCCUACCCAUCUUUCCCCACCCUGUGUUUUCUCACUGUGUGUCCUUUCUCUUUUCUGUUUUCGUCAUGUCUUUGCCCUCCCUCUCCCUCUUGCUGUCCACCGCUCUCUUUCUCUCUCUGGGUGAUUGCAGAGACAAGCCAUUCACUACUCUCUUCCAUUGCUGUAUCUGUAGUGGCCUGAAGGCCACCACAUCCUGUUAGCAACACAGGUUACAAAGCAGAGAACAGGUCUGUCUCAACUAUGCCAGUCACACACACACACACACACACACA